rnacentral:rRNA from 1 species
UACGGAGGAUCCAAGCGUUAUCCGGAAUCAUUGGGUUUAAAGGGUCCGUAGGCGGACGAUUAAGUCAGAGGUGAAAGUCUGCAGCUCAACUGUAGAAUUGCCUUUGAUACUGGUUGUCUUGAAUUUAGUUGAGGUGGGCGGAAUACGUUAUGUAGCGGUGAAAUGCAUAGAUAUAACGUAGAACACCGAUUGCGAAGGCAGCCUCCUGGACCAACACUGACGCUGAGGUGCGAAAGCGUGGGGAGCAAACAGG